UCCAUGUUGGUCAGGCUGGUCGCGAACUCCCGACCUCAGGUGAUCCAUCCACCUCGACCUCCCAACGUGUUGGGAUUACAGGCGUGAGGCACCGUGCUUGGCCGGGUUGCACCUUCAAUUGCUCAUGCUAGUCACUAAUGUUGGUAGCUUUUUUGUAAGAACUAAUAGACAUCUUUCAGGAAUUGACCAGUUCAGUAGUUACUCUUUAAGAGCAAGAGAGAUCAGAUCCAGAAAAAUGCAGAAAUACAUCCUACCCUCUUCUCAGAGUUUGGCUAAAAUCUCAGUUUGGCUAAAUCUUCUGACAGUACAUGAUAUAUUUAUUUGCAGAUCUGUCUCCCAGCUAGCCUGGGCAUUAGUGAAGGGAAAUGCCCCUAUUUUGGCACAUUUCCAUAUCACAUACAGGGGCUCAAUUAAUAGCAGUUGAAUGGAAUGGAUAUCUGUAGUGUAUUAUACAUAGCUAAUAUUGUUAAAGUUGGAUAUUUUCUCAUAUUUGAUAUUCUAUAAUUUUCCCCUUUGGUCUGGUAAACCCAGUCAUAAACAGACUCAAUUAUUUGUUGACAGUGUGUUUUCCUAAUUAAGCCCCAUAUAAUUAUGUGGCUUAAAUGUAACUCUCUGUAAUCAAGAAGCUGGCCCAUAUGGACCUAAUAUUUGCACAAGGCAUGAAUAAGGUCCAAACACACACUAGGAAAGAAAUAAUGCUAUCCACGGCCACUCUGCUGAUGACCUGUCCAUCCUUCCAAGUCACGUAUGCUGUUUGUUGCCUCCUCUUGGAAAGCUUUUCCCUCCCCACAUCAUGUCCAUCCAUUUCCUUCACCACAUUACCUCAUCAUCGUCCUUAGGAUUUCAGCUUAUACUUCACUCCCUCAGGAAAGAUUUCCCAGACAGCCUGUGAUACUGCCAGAGCCAAUACUUCUCCUUAACAGCAAUCAUUAUAACUGAUAAACUAACAUUUUCCAUUAAUUUUAUGAUUAUUUCAUUACUGUCUUCUGUUUCUGAUUGUAAAAUCCACAUAUGAACAUAAUAUGUGUGCAUUUUUUUGUUCAUGAUUAUGUUUCUAUCACAAUGUGUCUUGUUUAUGUGUCUGUGUAUAUACACACACACACAUAUAUAUUCACACACACGAGACACAAACGUACAUGCCCUCACAUAAGACACUUUGCUCCAUAAUCUGUACAUAUGAAUGAAUAGGUGGUGCUCAGUAAAUAUUUUGAAUGAAUGAAUUCUGCAAAUUUUACCCACGAAUCAUAAAGGAAGAGUUGAGAGCAGGGCUGGGUCAUUCCAAUGAUACAUAAGCAGAGAAACUUUUCAACUUACCACUUAUCCUGUUGUCUUACCACCCCUAGGAGACAUCAGUUGUGUUUCUGUAACAACAGCACCCCAAACAGUGCUUGUACGGGCCAUAUUGCCAAUCUGUACCUGCAAGGAACAAGGAGUAUAUUGUGUAGCUCAUCAAGAGGAAAAGGUAGGCCAGGCAUGGUGGCUCACGCCUGUAAUCCCAGCACUUUGGGUGGCUGAGACAGGCAGAUCACCUGAGGUCAGGAGUUCAAGAGCAGCCUGGCCAACAUGGUGAAACCCCAUCUCUACUAAAAAUACAAAAAUUAGGCGGGUGUGGCAGUGGGUCCCUGUAAUCCCAGUUACUUGGGAAGCUGCAGCAGAAGAAUCACUUGAACCCAGGAGUGGAGGCUGCAGUGAGCCAAGAUCACGCCAUUGCACUCUAGCCUGGGUGACAGAGCGAGAUUCUGUCUCAAAAAAAAAAAAAAAGAAAAAAAGGCAGAGGGAAGUGGUGAGAACCCACCUACAUCUUUGUGGUUCUCACCCUGUUUUGGUCAGAAUAUUAAUUCACCUGGAAGCAUAGUGCUCUUACUCCCCUACUAACCAUUAUCAGUUCCUAAUUAGCAGACCAAAUAUCACCUCUUUGUCUCUGUCUCUGUGUCUCUGUGUUUUACUCUCCUUCGCUGGCUCUCUUUCUUGGUUUCCCUCUUACUCUCCAGGACAUUAUAUGUAAAACAAAUAUAAGAAGACUCUGAAAGUUGGAGAAAAGACGUUAGACCAUCUGGAGACCUUGGGAUCUGAGGAACAACAUAGCAUGUCAGUGAAGACCACAUGGGGACAUGGAAGCAGUGACAAGACCCCUCUACCCUCUCUCAGCAGUAAGAGGAGCCCCUCCCCAUCCCAGGUGUCAACAGAGGCUGAGUGGGAACCUGGACUUCUACCCCCACCUGGUAGUAACAAGACAGGCUCCACCCCUUUCUUUGCCAGAGUGGUGUUGGAAGAAGCCAAUAAAAACAAAAGGUGUAAAUGAGACUGAGCGUCUCAUAACGUGAUAUCCAAAAUGUCUAGCUUUCCAUCGAAGAUCAUAUCAAGAGCCAGGAAAAUCUCAACUUGAAUGGAAAAAGACAAUCAAUAGAUCCCAACAUCAAAAUGACAGAGAUGGCAGAAUUAUCUGACAAAUAUUUUAAAGACAGCCAUUAUAUAAAUGUUUGAAAUAAACUAUUACAAACAUACUUGAAACAAACAAAAAAUAGAAAGUCUCAGCAGAAGUAUAGAAGAUAUAAAGAAGAACCAGAUAAAAAUUUUAGAACCGAAAAAUACAAAAGCCGAAACAAAAGACAACAGCAGAAUAAACGAGACAGGAAGAAAAUCAAUGAACUUGAAGAUAGAGCAGCAGAAAUUAAGCAAUAUGAAUAACAGAGAGAAAAUAGACUAAAAAAAUGAAAAGAACCUCAGGGACUUAGGAAACUAUAACAAAAGAUCUAACAUUCCUGUCACUGGAGUCUUGCAAGGAGAGAAGAAAAAGGGCGGGGCUAAGAAAAGGACACAAAGAAAUCAUAGCUAAAAGCUUCCAAAAAAAGUGAUGUAAUCUUAUUGGCAAUUAAGAAUUCAAAUUGAAUAAUAAAAUGACAUUUUUAUCCUUUGCUUCUCUAAUUGGCAAAAAAUAUUUAUGAUUGAUGACAUUGCAUAUUAGUAGGUAUAUGAGAAAUGAGGAUUCUUACAGUUAGUGACAGUUUAAAUUGAUGAUAUGUUUUUCAUUAAGUUUUUCUGAAUUGUCUAUUGCUAUCAAAAUUGUAAAUGUGCACAUUCCCUGAUGCUGAAAUUACACUUCCAGAAAUAAAUCUAUCCCAUGAAAUAGCCACAUAUGUUCAGAAAUCAUAUAAACUAUAUAAAGAAUAUUUAUUGCAAUAUCAUGUGUAAUCAUGGAAAAUUACAAAUAAAAACAUCCAUUAAAACAGAAAUAGUUAAUGAAUUGUGACUUAUUUGUACUAUAGAUGUGACAGAGUUGUUUAAUAAAUGUAUGAGAUUGACUUACACAAUUUGAUAUGGAAAUAACUCUAAGUUUUAAAAUGCUAGUAAAGGAACACUAUGUAUAAUAUGGUCCCAAACACAAGUACACCAAGAAAGGUGUAUGUUUGUGAAUACAAUGCAUAGAAAGUGGACAUAGAGAUAAGACAUUUUAAGAGUAUCCCCAGCUCCAAGCUGUGUUUGCUUGAGCCUUUGAAUAAACUGAAAAAAACAGAAAAUGUCACUGUUAAAGAAUGGUGUGGAAGGACUGAUAGAGAUUAUGAGGUGAUCAAAAUCUCCCUAAAGCAAAGGUUGACAGUUAAUUGAGUUUGACAGAGGUGGGUGACAAAGGGAAAUGUUCACACUUCGUUCUCCACUCUUUUAUGUCUUUGGCUCAUGUCCA
rnacentral:lncRNA from 1 species